rnacentral:rRNA from 1 species
GGCGAACUGGUGAGUAACGCGUAGGAAUCUACCUAGUAGAAGGGGAUAGCCCGAGGAAACUCGGAUUAAUACCGUAUACGUCCUUAGGGAGAAAGAGGGCUUAGCUUUGAUGCUCUCGCUAUUAGAUGAGCCUGCGUAAGAUUAGCUAGUUGGUGAGGUAAAGGCUCACCAAGGCGACGAUCUUUAGCUGGUCUGAGAGGACGAUCAGCCACAUUGGGACUGAGACACGGCCCAGACUCCUACGGGAGGCAGCAGUGGGGAAUAUUGGACAAUGGGCGCAAGCCUGAUCCAGCCAUACCGCGUGUGUGAAGAAGGCCUUCGGGUUGUAAAGCACUUUAAGUAAGGAAGAAAAGAGUAUUGUUAAUACCAAUACUCCGUGACAUUACUUACAGAAUAAGGACCGGCUAAUUCCGUGCCAGCAGCCGCGGUAAUACGGAAGGUCCAAGCGUUAAUCGGAAUUACUGGGCGUAAAGCGCGCGUAGGUGGUUUAUUAAGUUGGGUGUGAAAGCCCCGGGCUCAACCUGGGAACUGCAUCCAAAACUGAUUCACUAGAGUACGAAAGAGGAAAGUAGAAUUCACAGUGUAGCGGUGGAAUGCGUAGAUAUUGUGAAGAAUACCGAUGGCGAAGGCAGCUUUCUGGUUCUGUACUGACACUGAGGUGCGAAAGCGUGGGUAGCGAACAGGAUUAGAUACCCUGGUAGUCCACGCCGUAAACGAUGACAACUAGCUGUUGGGAAGCUAUGCUUUUCAGUGGCGCAGCUAACGUCUUAAGUUGUC